CGGUUAGCUCAGUUGGUAGAGCAACGGACUCUUAAUCCGUGGGUCCAGGGUUCGAGCCCCUG
rnacentral:tRNA from 2 species